rnacentral:lncRNA from 10 species
GGCGGUUUCGGCUUUUUGGUCUUUCCUGCUGCCUUGUGAAGAAGGUGCUUGUUUCUUCUUUGCCUUCUGCCAUGAUUGCCAUGUGAAUCGCACCCCUGGAACUGUGCAGGGCCCACCUGUGUGGCCACACGCAGUGACCCUGAGCAAAGGAGUGACCACAGAAGUGCAUGGCAAAGCAGAAAGGUGUGACGUCUUGGAGGACGCGGGAGGAAAGCACGCCCAGCGGACAGGAGCCAUCACGCGGCUGCGGGCUGCUGCUGAGAACCUGGCGUGGGCCACCGUCGUCAGCAGCGUGGAGGUAACUGACGACCUUGGCCAAGAAGUUGGGUGGCAGCGUGGAGGUCAUGCUCAGAGACCUGGAGACUCAGGGAUGGGAUGAUGCCCUUGGAAGCCAUGAAUAUGCACCUUGGAAUAUCUGGAAGAUCCAGGAAGAUCCCAGCUGAGCCCUCUGCCAGUGUUUGCUGGGGAAGGAGCCUGGGUUUGCAGUCUCUUGGCCCCAGCUGCUGUUGGUCUUGCUCUGUGGCCUUGGGCAAAAUGACCAUCAUCUCCAACCUCAGCAUCCUCUUCCGUGGAGGGGCCAAUGACCACACCCAAAGGUGAUUCUCUCUGCAUUGUUCUCUCUCGACUUUCUUUUUUUUUUGAGAUGGAGUCUCGCUCUGUCACCCAGGCUGGAAUGCAGUGGCACAAUCUCGGCUCACUGCAGCCUGUGCCUCCCGGGUUCAAGCGAUUCUCCUGCCUCAGCCUCCCGAGUAGCUGGGACUACAGGUGGGUGCCACCACACCCAGUUAAUUUUUUUGUGUGUGUUUUUAGUAGAGAUGGGGUUUCACCGUGUUAGCCAGGAUGGUCUCGAUCUACUGACCUCAUGAUCCACCCACCUUGGCCUCCCAAAGUGCUGGGAUUACAGGCAUGAACCACCGCUCCUGGCGUUCUCUCUCGACUUUCAACACCACUCCAAUCCCAGCCUGAGGAAAGGCAGGGCUGACAAGUGCGGCGGGGCCAUGUGCUCAGCAGGCUUUCAGCUCACCCCGGCAGUGCACGAUGGUGCCUUGCUCACUCAAAUAAUUCAAAGAUGAAGCCAGUUGGAAGUAAUUGUUUAGAUUAAACUCCAUUACCCUUAAUAAAUAAUUGACCUGUCAGAUGUACGGCACUUACAAAGGAGCCUGCUCUUCUGCUCAGAAUGAAUGUGCUCGGAACCAAGGUUUACCAUGCGGUUCCAGGCAGCUUCCCCACACCACUAAUUACAUUCAGACAGAUGAGGCUUCCUGGAGGCGGGAUGUGUGCUUGCAGGUGGAGCUGACCUCAUCUGGCUGUUGUUUCUGAGCAGGUUCGAGUGGCAGAAGGGAGAGGCUUCCCUGGGGGUUGUGGCCAAAAGACCUUCCCCAGGAGCAGGGAGUCCCUUCCCCGUCAUCACACAGGCUGCAGGAGCUCUUGGUUCAGCUGCCAGUUGUCUGUGACUCAGAGGGCAGAGGGUAGAGGUGAAGGGCUCAACACCCCCCAGCUCACCCUCUCCAUGCCCGAUGAGCUCUCUGUGCUCUUAUAACUCAUUGAUGCUGGACAGCUGCCCAGACACACUCAGAUACUGAAGCUGUCCCGUGGGCUUCCUUAGCGGAGGUGGGAUUUGGCUUGUAGGUGACCUGUGCCGGGAGCCUGCCCUGAGAGUGAGGUGAGCUGUCUAGAGUCAUAGUGCCCACCAUGGCCUUGAUGGCAGGUGGCCUCCCACCCAGUGCCACUACUGGCCUGCUGUCUGCCUCACCAGGCCCAGGUCAUCACCAGUGACUUGGCCUGGUGGCUGGGAUGGUUCAGGGAGGGAAGUGGCACCGUGUGUAUGAGGCACAGAGCAAAGGUUCGGUGAGAAAGUGGAGGCUGACCCAAGCCUCUCCCCAACCCGUGGAGGUAGCGUCUCAGAAAUGGCUGCUGGCAACUGCCGUGCCCUCGGCCAGGCUAGAGAAGCCGGCUGGCUGGACCCUAGCUUCUGUGGGUAACUCCCUUGGAGCCAUGGGGGAAUCGUUCCAGGUCCCGACCCAGAGUUUGGUGGAGCCGGUGGUCAGCCCUGCCUCCUGUUUCUCUCCCUGUCCCCCACUGUGUGUAAACAGCACCCAUGGCAGGUGUGGUCUGCAUGUCUGUGUCCCCGCAAAACUCAUAGGUUGAAAUCCUAACCCCCAGGGUGAUGGGAUUAGGAGGCGGGGCCUUUGGGGAGUGAUGAGGCCGUAGGGAUGGAGCCUCAUGAAUGGAAUGAGAGCCCUUAUAAGAAGAGGGGCUAGAGCGCUGCCUGGCCCCUUCCACCAGUGAGGACACAGUGAGAAGGCACCGUCUGCAAGUCAGGAUGGGAGUGACAUGGUUUGGCUCUGUGUCUCCACCCAAAUCUCGUCUCAAAUUGUCAUCCCCAUGUGUCGAGGAAGGGGCCUGGUGGAAGGUGAUUGGAUCAUGGGGGUGGUUCCCCCAUGCUGUUCUCAUGAUAGCGAGUGAGUUCUCAGGAGAUCUGAUUGUUUAAAAGUGUGGCACUUCCCCCUUUGCUCUCUCUCUCCUGCCGCCAUGUGAGACAUGCCUUGCUUCCCCUUCCCCUUCCACCAUGAUUGUAAGUUUCCUGAGGCCUCUCUAGGCAUGCAGAACCGUGAGUCAAUUAAACUUCUUUCCUUUAUAAAUUACCCUAUCUUUAUAGCAGUGUGAGAAUGGACUAAUACAGGGGCCCCUCCCUAGGAGCUGAAUCUGCCGGCACCUUGAUCUUGGACUUCCAGCCUCCAGACUGUGGAAAUAAGCGUCCGUUGUUUGCAAGCCUCCCCGUCUGUGGUGUUCCUCCAUAGCAGCUUGAAUGUACUGAAAGGGCAGGGGUGGUGAGGGCUCGUUUUGCCUCCGAGGAUCAGGACAGGCCAAGACUGUCCCAUGGCCCUACCAGGCAGGACGUCUCUCUCUUCCCUGCGUCCGGACCCACAGGCCUGUCAGCCCUGGUGCAUGCACUGGGGGCACAGAGAUCUCUUCAGGAGGGGACACCCCAUGUUCCUGGGAAAGCAGAAGGAGGCACCUGCAUCUUGCUGGGCAAACAUUGUGCUCAGAGAUUUGCUUGUCAGAAACACUUUAGGUUAGUACCUGUCAGUGCUUUAGGGGCUGAUGGUGAUUUGCAUAUGUAGAUGAGACAGUGCCAUACUAAGUAAUUUCACAUACAUCACUUCAUUUGAAUUUCACGACUCCUUGCCAUGAGAACAACAAUGAUUAUUUAGAAAUUAGAGUAUUUAAUAACAGCAGCAAUGAGAUGACAAUGACAAUGAUGGUGAUGAUGUGUGUCAUGAUGAACUGCGUGGAAGCCCUGUGCCAGGGGCACUAUCGUCUGCACCUUGGAGGCGAAGUGACUGAAGGCAGUAGAGGAGAGGGCCUGCCCAAGGCCUCAGGGCCCAGGGCUGCCUUCCCACUGUCUUCAUGGUGCAGGGGGAGCCCUCGUCCAUCCUCACCAUGACUGGCAUACUGUAAAGUUAGGGCACCCCUGGACCCUGACAGCCCAGCCCUGUAGGGGCUGCCCUCACCGGCUCCCCUCCUACCAGGACAGGUGCACUGGGCAGGGAGGCACUCAUUCCUACCUUCCACCAGCAGAAACAAACAAAGCAGCGGGUGAAUGAUCUGUGGCCCACUCCGCAUAAAUCAGGUGCAUAAUGUAGCUGCCCGGGCUUCUAUACUGCAACAUUCGCAAGGCAAUUAGCUU